GACUGUGUAAAAUAUCCUGGUAGCACCAGAGCUAAUCUGUCCUUGGGAGCUAAGCAGGGUCAGUCCUGGUUAAUACUUGGAUAGGAAGCCCCUAUGGAGUCCUGGGUGUUGUAGGCU
rnacentral:rRNA from 1 species